AAUACAUGCAGUCGAGCGGACAGAAGGGAGCUUGCUCCCGGAUGUUAGCGGCGGACGGGUGAGUAACACGUGGGUAACCUGCCUGUAAGACUGGGAUAACUCCGGGAAACCGGAGCUAAUACCGGAUAGUUCCUUGAACCGCAUGGUUCAAGGAUGAAAGACGGUUUCGGCUGUCACUUACAGAUGGACCCGCGGCGCAUUAGCUAGUUGGUGAGGUAACGGCUCACCAAGGCGACGAUGCGUAGCCGACCUGAGAGGGUGAUCGGCCACACUGGGACUGAGACACGGCCCAGACUCCUACGGGAGGCAGCAGUAGGGAAUCUUCCGCAAUGGACGAAAGUCUGACGGAGCAACGCCGCGUGAGUGAUGAAGGUUUUCGGAUCGUAAAGCUCUGUUGUUAGGGAAGAACAAGUGCAAGAGUAACUGCUUGCACCUUGACGGUACCUAACCAGAAAGCCACGGCUAACUACGUGCCAGCAGCCGCGGUAAUACGUAGGUGGCAAGCGUUGUCCGGAAUUAUUGGGCGUAAAGGGCUCGCAGGCGGUUUCUUAAGUCUGAUGUGAAAGCCCCCGGCUCAACCGGGGAGGGUCAUUGGAAACUGGGAAACUUGAGUGCAGAAGAGGAGAGUGGAAUUCCACGUGUAGCGGUGAAAUGCGUAGAGAUGUGGAGGAACACCAGUGGCGAAGGCGACUCUCUGGUCUGUAACUGACGCUGAGGAGCGAAAGCGUGGGGAGCGAACAGGAUUAGAUA
rnacentral:rRNA from 1 species